GAUGAACGCUGGCGGCGUGCUUAACACUUGAAGAUGAGCCUGCGGCGUAUUAGCUAGUUGGUAAGGUAACGGCUUACCAAGGCGACGAUGCGUAGCCGACCUGANAGGGUGAUCGGCCACAUUGGGACUGAGACACGGGCCCAAACUCCUAUGGGAGACAGCAGUUAGGAAUAUUCGACAAUGGAGGAAACUCUGAUCGAGCAAUGCCGCGUGAGUGAUGACGGUCCUUUGGAUUGUAAAACUCUUUUAUUAGGGAAGAACGACUAGUAUAGGAAAUGAUACUAGAGUGACGGUACCUUUGAAUAAGCCCCGGCUAACUACGUG
rnacentral:rRNA from 1 species